UACGGAGGAAGCUAGCGUUGUUCGGAUAUACUGGGCGUAAAGCGCACGUAGGCGGCGCCGUAAGUCAGGGGUGAAAUCCCGGAGCUCAACUCCGGAACUGCCCUUGAAACUGCAGUGCUAGAAUCUUGGAGAGGCGAGUGGAAUUCCGAGUGUAGAGGUGAAAUUCGUAGAUAUUCGGAAGAACACCAGUGGCGAAGGCGACUCGCUGGACAAGUAUUGACGCUGAGGUGCGAAAGCGUGGGGAGCAAACAGG
rnacentral:rRNA from 1 species